ACAGAGUUCGUGCCCUUCGGGGUAGACCUCCCACCCGUGUGAACGAUACCUUUGUUGCUUUGGUCGGCCGCGGGCCCGCCCGCUACCGGCUCUGCUGGUACGCGCCGACCAGAGGCCCCAACUCCUGUUUUCUGUGCCGUCUAAGUCCCAUAUAAUCGUCAAAACUUUCAACAACGGAUCUCUUGGUUCUGGCAUCGAUGAAGAACGCAGCGAAAUGCGAUAAGUAAUGUGAAUUGCAGAAUUCAGUGAAUCAUCGAAUCUUUGAACGCACAUUGCGCCCCUUGGUAUUCCGAGGGGCAUGCCUGUUCGAGCGUCAUUAACACCCCUCAAGCCUGGCUUGUCGUUGGACUUUUGGUCGUGUGACCGGUCCGAAAGAUAAUGGACGGGGUGCCUACAGGCCCUAGAUGCAACGAGCUUUUUAAGCACGCAUCGACCGGUCGUACGGCCCCGCCCCAAACCCCAUCUUUUCAGGUUGACCUCGGAUCAGGUAGGAAUACCCGCUGAACUUAA
rnacentral:rRNA from 1 species